GAGAGACAGGGGCUGCUACUGGAGAAGCCCUAAAUGACUGCCUUGACUGUACCGAUGGUUGGUUUCUGGGCAUUCGUACAAGUGGCUGUCCCCGACCUACAGGUCUGUGAAAGGCUCCUUGGGCAGGACCAGUUCUCUUGGUUUCCCUUAAACCUGCUGGCCGAGAGCCUGAUAUACCUUGCAUAUUGGUUCCAGAUCCCAUUUCCCUUGAAGGCGAUGCAGGGCCUCUAUGUAUAGAUGCCCUAAAGGGAGCUACUUGCUGAGUUACAGGGGGCCCAGGUCUACUGUGUCUUUUUAAAUAGGGAUUGGCUGGUGAAGGUUUCACAGCUCCCAUUGGCACAUGGCUUCUCACUCCUGACCCUCCUCUCAGCCUGCGGGUAGAGGAGCGGGUUGGGAGGGGUCGAGUGGAAACACGUGAUGGUGAAGUUCUCAUUACUGUUCGUUUGAUCCACCCGCUUCAGCCUCUAAUUAACCAGCCUUCAACCAGUCAUCAGUGCCAGAUUGUUUCGAGUCAGUGGUGAGCCUGGAACCAACCUCAUCCGCUGGGCUCGGACUGAACUAUAAGACCAGAGGUUCCUGCCGUAGAAGCCGACGCCGCUCACUGCAGUUCUGUUUCCAAUAAAAAUUUGAAGAAAUCUAACUUUUUAUCUGCCUCGACUCCUAUUGUUCUGAGCUUGACAUAAGGAGUAUGAGUGGUUUUAGCAGACUGGU